rnacentral:rRNA from 1 species
CAGUCGCCGCGGUAAUACGGAGGGUGCAAGCGUUAUUCGGAUUUAUUGGGUUUAAAGGGUCCGUAGGCGGACUUAUAAGUCAGUGGUGAAAGCCUGUCGCUUAACGAUAGAACUGCCAUUGAUACUGUAAGUCUUGAGUAUAUUUGAGGUAGCUGGAAUAAGUAGUGUAGCGGUGAAAUGCAUAGAUAUUACUUAGAACACCAAUUGCGAAGGCAGGUUACCAAGAUAUAACUGACGCUGAGGGACGAAAGCGUGGGUAGCGAACAGGAUUAGAUACCCCUGUAGUCCCUGUCUCUUAUAC